UAUUAAACAUUCAUCAACUUCUACUGUUAAAAACUGGUAUGGCUAACGAAAUAACCAGACAGUUAACCAGACAGUUACACAUGAUGUGCCAUGGGUACCUCAUAUUGACGUACAUGGACAAGUUUUUAACAGUAAAAAUGGAUGGAUUUUUUAACA
rfam:Gossypium hirsutum cultivar TM-1 chromosome 9, whole genome shotgun sequence